rnacentral:lncRNA from 1 species
UUGCAUGUGAUGUAAAUGCUGAAUUCAGAUCCUUAGAAGUGGGCGUAGGAAUUGUAAUAUUAAUAUUAAUAUUUUAUUAAAUUUUCUACUUUGGUGUUCUAAGCAUUUUCCUAUAAAUAGGGUGCUUAGGUUAGAAUUGAAAAUCACACCAGAAACUGAAGUUUUCUCUCUCUAUAUUAUCGAGCGUAUUCUUGUGAGUAUUUUGAG